GGCUAGGUGGCGGAGUGGUUAACGCGGUAGACUCGAAUUCCACUCGAAUGAGAAAUCUACUUCCUUCGGGAGCGUCUGUUCGAAUCAGGCCCUAGUCG